rnacentral:rRNA from 1 species
UACGGAGGAUGCAAGCGUUAUCCGGAAUGAUUGGGCGUAAAGGGUCCUGAGGUGGCUGGCUUAGUCUACUGUGAAAGAUCAGGGCUUAACCCUGAACAGGCGGUGGAAACUAGCAAGCUAGAGUACGGUAGGGGCGGAGGGAAUUCUCGGUGGAGCGGUGAAAUGCAUAGAUAUCGGGAAGAACACCAACGGCGAAAGCACGAUCCGCUGGGCCGAAAACUCGACAGCGUAGACAGACGAGAGCUAGGGGAGGCGAAUGGGAUUGAGAC